rnacentral:rRNA from 1 species
UACGAGGGGAGCUAGCGUUGUUCGGAAUUACUGGGCGUAAAGGGCGUGUAGGCGGUACCAUAAGUCAGAUGUGAAAGCCCUGGGCUUAACCUAGGAUGUGCAUUUGAUACUGUGGAACUAGAGAUCGAGAGAGGAAAGUGGAAUUACGAGUGUAGAGGUGAAAAUUCGUAGAUAUUCGUAAGAACACCAGUGGCGAAGGCGACUUUCUGGCUCGAUACUGACGCUAAGGCGCGAAAGCGUGGGGAGCAAACAGGAUUGAGAAACCCCG